GAAGCAGACAGAAAAACACAGAAGCAGUUGAUGGCUCAUGCCAAACGGUCGUUUUAUUGUUUUAUUUUUUGCUCAUUUUAUCUACAGUCAUCGGUACAGCCAUGUCUGCCACGCGUCUGACAUCCGGGAGCCAACAAAAUCUCAACGUGUCGGUUACUUCCAGUGCUUCUACAAAAGACGGUGAGACGACGGCACCGCCUCAUUUGUCGAGUCAAAACAUUCGAAGUGUCGAUCGUAAUUCACCUCGGGUGCCAUCGUUUCUGUUCGCCCGCCAACAAGGUACCCAGGUGAGUAGCUGAUCUUGUCCCAGUGCGAUGGAACAUAUUCCCGACUCUGACGACAUGCGCCAUUUGGUGUGACAGAGUCGGGAGUGUUGAGAUCGUGGAUUUUAAUUUCCCCAUCCAUGGAUCCGCUGAUGAUGGAAUCACCUGGAACAUCGCAGUAGUCCUUCAUCUCCCCAGUAACAUUCUAAACAGGUUGAUUGCAUGUCGUUCAGAAACAAAUAUGCAGUUGGCUCAGCAUCUUUUGUCGCCCAUGUCACAUCGUGCCGGAUGUCAUUACUACUCUGAGCAACAGGACAGCCCCUGACAAAGCACGCCAAUUCUCAAGUUUGGCAAUAAAGUUGUGAAAGCAAAACCUAUGGCCUCUUCUGCUUGUGGUAACCAGAGCAUUCACUGGGCUCCAUCAGACGAUUUCCUGGUGGCCUUAAGAGAUGGAGUUUUAUUGGAACUUUUAUUAUCGAGUCAACGAGGACUACAAGAAAAUUGAGAUUUGGAACAACGACUUCGACAUGGGAGACCCCGGAGACCCAUUCCGUCAUGUUAUCUGGAAUAGCACAGGUGAUUCCAUCAUCAGAGGAUCUAUGGGUGGUGAAAUGCAAAACUACGAUCUCAACACUCCCGACUCUGUCACAUCGAAUGGCGCAUGUCGUCAGAGUCGGGAAUAUAUUUCAUCGCAAUGGGACAAGAUCAUCUACUUACCUGUGCCGCCUCAACUGAAGGGUUCGGGGUUUACGACCUCCGCCAAACGGGUGGGUCCACUAAACCCACUUUAUCAUUGCAUCAGAAUCUCGCCGCUUAUAGCCUCUCCAACUCCUCAAUUAACGGUAAUUAAUAUUUUCAGAAACCCCCGGAGACGAAAAUCCCGUCAGAGUCAUGAACUGGUGUCCCUGGAAACCCAAUGUUCUUUUUACCAGCACAAGUUAUCCAGAGUCGAGCAUCCGCCUUCACAAUGCAACGACGGGUGGCUUGAUUGACGACUUUGAAUGCACAUCAGGAGUUUUGGGGAUCCAAUUCAACGUCGAGCUGGAACAAGUUGCCACUUCACAUAAUGAUUUUUCAAGAGCAGAUGCUACGAGACAUAUUCAUGGUGAAGAAAGCACCGUUCAGCUCUGGGAAUUUACUUCUAACAAAUUGAAUCCCAUCCAAUAAAUAAGCUAUCACAAACAAGGCAUCAUUAGCAUGGUUGCUUCCGUCAAUAGUCAAUUGCACACCUUGUGCAGUGAUGGCCAACUGUGUUUAUGGCACUGGAACGCAACAAACAAAUCCGCCCCUCGUUCAAAUGCAAACAAUGAGGCGGGGUUCCAGACUGGUCGUAGUCAAUUGGAUGCAUUUAUCGUUAUCCGCUAGUCAUAGAUUUUCAAUUCCCCAAAAAUAUUUUAAUGAAUUUCAAUAGUUUGAUUGGGUCCUGAUUGGGUCAUUUUUAAAAAGAUGUUUUAUUGUAAAUUAAAAAAAAAAAAAACACUGAG
rnacentral:lncRNA from 1 species